CGGGGAAUUUUGGACAAUGGGCGAAAGCCUGAUCCAGCAAUGCCGCGUGUGUGAAGAAGGCCUUCGGGUUGUAAAGCACUUUUGUCCGGAAAGAAAUCCUUGGCUCUAAUACAGUCGGGGGAUGACGGUACCGGAAGAAUAAGCACCGGCUAACUACGUGCCAGCAGCCGCGGUAAUACGUAGGGUGCAAGCGUUAAUCGGAAUUACUGGGCGUAAAGCGUGCGCAGGCGGUUUGCUAAGACCGAUGUGAAAUCCCCGGGCUCAACCUGGGAACUGCAUUGGUGACUGGCAGGCUAGAGUAUGGCAGAGGGGGGUAGAAUUCCACGUGUAGCAGUGAAAUGCGUAGAGAUGUGGAGGAAUACCGAUGGCGAAGGCAGCCCCCUGGGCCAAAUACUGACGCUCAUGCACGAAAGCGUGGGGAGCAAAACAGGAUUAGAUACCCUGGUAGUCCACGCCCUAAACGAUGUCAACUAGUUGUUGGGGAUUCAUUUCCUUAGUAACGUAGCUAACGCGUGAAGUUGACCGCCUGGGGAGUACGGUCGCAAGAUUAAAACUUAAAGGAAUUGACGGGGUCAUAGCUGUUUCCU
rnacentral:rRNA from 1 species